rnacentral:misc_RNA from 1 species
AACGCACAUUGCGCCCCUUGGUAUUCCGGGGGGCAUGCCUGUUCGAGCGUCAUUUCAACCCUCAAGCACAGCUUGGUAUUGGGCCCUGCCAGCGAUGGCAGGCCCUAAAAUCAGUGGCGGCGCCGCUGGGCCCUGAGCGUAGUAAUUCUCUCGCUACAGGGUCCCCGCGAGCUCCCGCCAGAACCCCCAAUUUUCUAUGGUUGACCUCGGAUCAGGUAGGGAUACCCGCUGAACUUAA